rnacentral:rRNA from 1 species
AUGAACGCUGGCGGCGUGCCUAAUACAUGCAAGUCGAGCGAACAGACGAGGAGCUUGCUCCUCUGACGUUAGCGGCGGACGGGUGAGUAACACGUGGAUAACCUACCUAUAAGACUGGGAUAACUUCGGGAAACCGGAGCUAAUACCGGAUAAUAUAUUGAACCGCAUGGUUCAAUAGUGAAAGACGGUUUUGCUGUCACUUAUAGAUGGAUCCGCGCCGCAUUAGCUAGUUGGUAAGGUAACGGCUUACCAAGGCGACGAUGCGUAGCCGACCUGAGAGGGUGAUCGGCCACACUGGAACUGAGACACGGUCCAGACUCCUACGGGAGGCAGCAGUAGGGAAUCUUCCGCAAUGGGCGAAAGCCUGACGGAGCAACGCCGCGUGAGUGAUGAAGGUCUUCGGAUCGUAAAACUCUGUUAUUAGGGAAGUACAAAUGUGUAAGUAACUAUGCACGUCUUGACGGUACCUAAUCAGAAAGCCACGGCUAACUACGUG